rnacentral:rRNA from 1 species
UUCCGGUUGAUCCUGCCGGACCCGACUGCUAUCAGAGUGGGACUAAGCCAUGCGAGUCAACGCAGCAAUGCGUGGCAUACGGCUCAGUAACACGUAGUCAACAUGCCCAGGGGACGUGGAUAACCUCGGGAAACUGAGGAUAAACCGCGAUAGGCCAAGGUUUCUGGAAUGAACCAUGGCUGAAACCUACAUGGCCCCUGGAUUGGACUGCGGCCGAUCAGGCUGUUGGUGAGGUAAUGGCCCACCAAACCUGUAACCGGUACGGGCUCUGAGAGGAGGAGCCCGGAGAUGGGCACUGAGACAAGGGCCCAGGCCCUAUGGGGCGCAGCAGGCGCGAAACCUCUGCAAUAGGCGAAAGCUUGACAGGGUUACUCUGAGUGAUGUCCGUUAAGGGCAUCUUUUGGCACUUCUAAAAAUAGUGCAGAAUAAGGGGUGGGCAAGUCUGGUGUCAGCCGCCGCGGUAAUACCAGCACCCCGAGUGGUCGGGACGAUUAUUGGGCCUAAAGCAUCCGUAGCCGGUUCUGCAAGUCUUCCGUUAAAUCCACCUGCUCAACAGAUGGGCUGCGGAGGAUACUACAGGGCUAGGAGGCGGGAGAGGCAAGCGGUACUCAGUGGGUAGGGGUAAAAUCCUCUGAUCCACUGAAGACCACCAGUGGCGAAGGCGGCUUGCCAGAACGCGCUCGACGGUGAGGGAUGAAAGCUGGGGGAGCAAACCGGAUUAGAUACCCGGGUAGUCCCAGCUGUAAACGAUGCAGACUCGGUGAUGGGUUGGCUUCGAGCCAACCCAGUGCCGCAGGGAAGCCGUUAAGUCUGCCGCCUGGGGAGUACGGUCGCAAGACUGAAACUUAAAGGAAUUGGCGGGGGAGCACCACAAGGGGUGAAGCCUGCGGUUCAAUUGGAGUCAACGCCGGG